rnacentral:rRNA from 1 species
AUACGUAGGGGGCGAGCGUUGUCCGGAAUGAUUGGGCGUAAAGGGCGCGUAGGCGGUCUUGCAAGUCAGAAGUGAAAUUCCUGAGCUCAACUCGGGCGCUGCUUCUGAAACUGCAGGACUUGAGUGCUGGAGGGGAUAGCGGAAUUCCUAGUGUAGCGGUGAAAUGCGUAGAGAUUAGGAAGAACGCCGGUGGCGAAGGCGACUUUCUGGACGAAGACUGACGCUGAGGCGCGAAAGCGUGGGGAGCAAACAGGAUUAGAUACCCUGGUAGUCCACGCUGUAAACGAUGGGUACUAGGUGUAGGAGGUAUCGACCCCUUCUGUGCCGGAGUUAACGCAAUAAGUACCCCGCCUGGGGACUACGGUCGCAAGACUAGAACUCAAAGGAAUUGACGGGG